GACGAACCGUGCGAACGUUAUUCGGAAUCACUGGGCUUAAAGCGCGUGUAGGCGGGACGGCACGUCGGUCGCUGAAAUCCCCCGGCUCAACCGGGGAACGGGCGCCGAUACGACCGGCCUGGAGGGGCGUAGGGGGACCUGGAACUUCCGGUGGAGCGGUGAAAUGCGUUGAGAUCGGAAGGAACGCCCGUGGCGAAAGCGAGGUCCUGGACGCCUACUGACGCUGAGACGCGAAAGCUAGGGGAGCAAACAGG
rnacentral:rRNA from 1 species